rnacentral:rRNA from 1 species
UUACCAGACUCCUACGGGAGGCAGCAGUGGGGAAUAUUACACAAUGGGGGAAACCCUGAUGCAGCGACGCCGCGUGAGUGAAGAAGUAAUUCGUUCUGUAAAGCUCUAUCAGCAGGGAAGAAAAUGACGGUACCUGAGUAAGAAGCCCCGGCUAACUACGUGCCAGCAGCCGCGGUAAUACGUAGGGGGCAAGCGUUAUCCGGAUUUACUGGGUGUAAAGGGAGCGUAGACGGCAGUGCAAGUCUGAAGUGAAAGGCGGGGGCCCAACCCCCGGACUGCUUCGGAAACUGUGCUGCUGGAGUGCAGGAGAGGCAAGUGGAAUUCCUAGUGUAGCGGUGAAAUGCGUAGAUAUUAGGAGGAACACCAGUGGCGAAGGCGGCCUGCUGGACGGUGACUGACGCUGAGGCUCGAAAGCGUGGGGAGCAAACAGGAUUAGAUACCCCAGUA